rnacentral:lncRNA from 1 species
AGCUUGAGCAGCCUGACCUUAAGCCCUAAAGAGUUAAAAGUUUUGAAACCUCACUGCCUACUGAAAGUACUUUCUUCCCUGAAAGGAACAUUAGCCUUUGAUGCAGUUACUGUACCAUUUUAGAAUUCAUAUCUCUCUUUGAAGUUCAUAUUUGACAACUGCUCUAAAGAUUGUAGAAGCAGUAGCAACAUUGUUAGGAAGAAUCAUCUUUAUCGCAAAGAAGAGAUGUAAGAACAAACAUUUCCCUGCUACUUUAUGGAGUGUGUACAUAUCAAGAGCAGUAACUUGCAACUUCUGCAACCAGAAAAACACAGGACUGAUCUCCAAGUAUAUCUGAUGCUCUUUCCAGACUCAUUUCUCCAUAUAUUCAUCCCAACAUUAAUGGCCCCCUGGCCAUGAAGUUGUAUUUAGACCCCCAGC